GAGUUAUGUCAUGUUAUCGAUAUGUGAAUACAUAGCAUAUCAGAAGGCACACCCGGAGAACUGAAACAUCUUAGUACCCGGAGGAAGAGAAAGAAAAUUCGAUUCCCUUAGUAGCGGCGAGCGAAACGGGAAGAGCCCAAACCAACAAGCUUGCUUGUUGGGGUUGUAGGACACUCUAUACGGAGUUACAAAGGACGACAUUAGACGAAUCAUCUGGAAAGAUGAAUCAAAGAAGGUAAUAAUCCUGUAGUCGAAAAUGUUGUCUCUCUUGAGUGGAUCCUGAGUACGACGGAGCACGUGAAAUUCCGUCGGAAUCUGGGAGGACCAUCUCCUAAGGCUAAAUACUCUCUAGUGACCGAUAGUGAACCAGUACCGUGAGGGAAAGGUGAAAAGCACCCCGGAAGGGGAGUGAAAUAGAACCUGAAACCGUGUGCUUACAAGUAGUCAGAGCCCGUUAAUGGGUGAUGGCGUGCCUUUUGUAGAAUGAACCGGCGAGUUACGAUUUGAUG
rnacentral:rRNA from 1 species